GACGAACGCUGGCGGCGUGCCUAACACAUGCAAGUCGAACGGAAAGGCCCUGCUUUUGUGGGGUGCUCGAGUGGCGAACGGGUGAGUAACACGUGAGUAACCUGCCCUUGACUUUGGGAUAACUUCAGGAAACUGGGGCUAAUACCGGAUAGGAGCUCCUGCUGCAUGGUGGGGGUUGGAAAGUUUCGGCGGUUGGGGAUGGACUCGCGGCUUAUCAGCUUGUUGGUGGGGUAGUGGCUUACCAAGGCUUUGACGGGUAGCCGGCCUGAGAGGGUGACCGGCCCCAUUGGGACUGAGAUACGGCCCAGACUCCUUCGGGAGGCAGGGGUGGGGAAUUUUGCCCAAGGGGCGGAAGCCUGAUGCAGCAACGCCGCGUGGGGGAUGACGGCCUUCGGGUUGUAAACCGCUUUCGCCUGUGACGAAGCGUGGGUGCCGGUAAUGGGUAAAGAAGCCCCGGCUACCUCCGU
rnacentral:rRNA from 1 species